rnacentral:lncRNA from 1 species
GGGCGGACGGUUUGUGGCAAUGUGAGGCGGAAAACAAUUAAUGCCAAACGGCAAGGCGAUCUUGGAUGGGCUGCUGCUGUCUAGCAGGCAACAUUUUGCCGCCGAUUUGGUUGAGUUGUAGGGAAUAUUUAAAGUAACGGCGCAAUGUUGGAUUCGGUGGUGAAUCUGAGCCUCCUUUUUUCUUCCCCUUCUCCACUUUUCUAAUAUCUGUUCUUAUUCUUUCCCAAGAUUUUAUUUUUCAACGCUUUUUUAACUUCUUUCCUAUAAUCCGAUUUUAAUGAUGAGUUGUUCCCGUGGCUCCUCCAAAAUUCAUAGGUUUUGGAGGCUGGUGAAUGAUCGGGGAUAGGGAUUGCGUCAAUAGUAGCUAGGGUUUUGAGAGAACCCAAUUCCUCAAUUUAUUUUAAAAAAAUGUUGUUAAAAAUCUCGGAAAAUUUGCCUGUUCCACAGUGCUCUCAAUAUUGAGUCAUUUUCCCCCAUCUUUUUUCAUUUAAUUUGUUUUUACGCAUGUAGCAAGGGUUUUGAUCUUGCAUUGGCUUCCUUUUUUCCUCAAUUACUUUGUAGUCUUUUCCAUCUUCUUUACAAAGUGAAAAUUUUAUCAACUUCAUUCCAUGAUCUGGUUUUUCUAGCAUUGCUCUUCUAACAUGGCCUGCUUAGGGGCUGUUUGGGCUUUGUGGCAUCUUCAUGCUGCAUUAUUUUUUUAAGCCUAUAUGAAGGUGUUGCAAAAACCUCAAGAAAUUUCUAUGGAGGCUGUGUUAGGUUAGGUUACCGACUUCAACUUUUCCUUCAUGAUGUCCUCAAUCUCAUUAAAAAUCAGGACAACCAUUCAGUUAUUUAUGCUGCUUCUUUAUCUGCUUUUUUUCCCCCUCUCUUCUUAACCUUCCUUCUGAACAAUGCAGAUGUAGUGGUAAUUUGCUUUGCUCUCUUGGUUCUGUGCUUACAAAACACCUUUUAUGUAACUUGCUUUGCUCAAACCAAACACAAUGUUCUUGGAGAUGGUAGAUGAAUUCGUAAGGGUAAUUCUUGUUCAUCAGUUUAGCAUUGGUCUUUGUUAAAACAAACUCCCAUCUCUCCUCCUCUCCUCUGCUUGUCUUCUCUCUUCUAGAACGAUGGGCGAGGCAGCUC